AUUCGCGCCUCCCGGAAGGGAGAAAAGCCCGCCCGAGGCGCGGUGCUGACGGUGGCUGGGCUGCCGGGUGCGCUGUGGAACCGCCUCCUGCUAGAGCAGCGGGCUGGCGACGGUCCUCGCCGGGGCGGGAAGCGGCUCAGGCUGCCCUCGCUGGCCUGCGGCGGCGCGGCUGGAAGCGCGGGCCACUCGUGCGUGGGUCACUCAGGACUGCGCCUCGCGCGACUGUGUGUGCAGGAAACAAGCAGGAAAUACCCUAAAAGAGAAUGAAGCGCCAUGUUGAGGGUCGCGGACGUCGCGAGUGCUGUGGGAAUGUGGGCUGAGGUGGAGAGUUAUGGUAGCCCGUGUUACAGGCUCAGGGGUCUGAAAGAAGCCUAAUCGUGGAGGCGGCAUCUGAGGAGGGUCUUGAAGGCUGGGCAGGCAUUUGCCCGACAGAGAUGGAGGAAGCUAGUCCUGUCUGAUGGAGGAAACAGGGCGGAGGCGUGGAGGGAGCCGUGCAGCGCUGGUGUGAGGAGCAGCGAGCAGGCCAGGCCUGUAAAGCAGAGUGAGGGAACCAGGAUAGAGAAGGCAAGUCGGGGUCCUGUGGUCGCUGAAGAAUUUGAAUGAAAUCAGUAAACAGGUGAGAGGGAUCCAUCGCAAGAGCAUGGGAUGAAAGGAGGAGUAGUCCACGGUGAUUCCUCUGCAGCGGUGGGUGUUAUUAAUCGCGUAUGUGACACCAAAACCACCCCACUCAAGCUGUGGCUCUUUCCCUAAAGUAGAAAACCGAGACCAGUUGGGUUCCAAGCAUCCACGAAGAUCUUAUUAAAUUCGUGAUCCCUGGUGGCACCAUGGAGUCAGGAUUGGCUCAUCUCAAACCUGACUCAGAAACAAAACCGUCACAAUGUGCAGAGAUGAGCGUCCUUACCGCUAUCAACGUAUUUUCUGGUGUUUUCACAGUGCUGCGCUUCCUAAUCCCCAUUCCAUGGCAAUCCACAUGCCAUGAUGCCCGGAGUCAUUAACAAAGGAGACACACAGGGGCUCCUCACGUUGGCUUUCCAGGGUUUUGAUGAAAAUCUGUUUCCUCGUCUCAUACAAUGUGGCUGUACAGGAAGCAUGGUGAUGGCAUCUGCAUGGCGCCUGUGGAGGCCCCAGGGAGCUUUUACUCAUGAUGGAAGGCACAGAGGGAGUAGGCACAUCACAUGGUCCGAGGAGGAGCAAGAGAAAAUGGGAGUGGGG